rnacentral:lncRNA from 1 species
UUUAAUCAAACCUGAUCCAAACAUUGUCAUGACUUAAAUAGAUUCCAUUAGUCCAUGAGUUCAAGACUUCAUAAGUCCAAUAAGAAUAAUUCAAAUGAAAUAAAACAAGUCACCAAUAAAUUCUAGAGACAAAAAUAAAGGGGGUUUAUGUUUAACAUAUUUACAAAAUAGUAAAAAUGAAAGGGUUAAAAAAUAAAAUAAAUAUGGAAAUAAAUAGGGAAAAUAAAUAAA